CCCAGACUCCUACGGGAGGCAGCAGUGGGGAAUAUUGCACAAUGGGGGAAACCCUGAUGCAGCGACGCCGCGUGAGCGAGGAAGUAUUUCGGUAUGUAAAGCUCUGUCAGCAGGGAAGAAGAAUGACGGUACCUGAAGAAGAAGCACCGGCUAAAUACGUGCCAGCAGCCGCGGUAAUACGUAUGGUGCAAGCGUUAUCCGGAUUUACUGGGUGUAAAGGGAGCGCAGGCGGUUCUGCAAGUCUGAUGUGAAAGCCCGGGGCUCAACCGCGGGACUGCAUUGGAAACUGCGGGACUGGAGUGUCGGAGGGGUAAGCGGAAUUCCUGGUGUAGCGGUGAAAUGCGUAGAUAUUAGGAGGAACACCAGUGGCGAAGGCGGCCUGCUGGACGACAACUGACGGUGAGGCGCGAAAGCGUGGGGAGCAAACAGGAUUAGAUACCCCAGUAGU
rnacentral:rRNA from 1 species